CCUACGGGAGGCAGCAGUGAGGAAUAUUGGUCAAUGGCCGGGAGGCUGAACCAGCCAAGUCGCGUGAGGGAAGACGGCCCUACGGGUUGUAAACCUCUUUUGUCAGGGAGCAAGGUGCAGGUCGGGACCUGCUGUGAGAGUACCUGCGUAAGAAGCACCGGCUAAAUACGUGCCAGCAGCCGCGGUAAUACGUAUGGUGCAAGCGUUAUCCGGAUUUACUGGGUGUAAAGGGAGCGUAGACGGCUGUGCAAGUCUGAAGUGAAAGCCCGUGGCUCAACCGCGGAACUGCUUUGGAAACUGUAUAGCUUGAGUACUGGAGAGGCAGGCGGAAUUCCUAGUGUAGCGGUGAAAUGCGUAGAUAUUAGGAGGAACACCAGUGGCGAAGGCGGCCUGCUGGACAGAAACUGACGUUGAGGCUCGAAAGCGUGGGGAGCAAACAGGAUUAGAUACCCGGGUAGUC
rnacentral:rRNA from 1 species